GGGGGGCAAGCGUUGUUCGGAAUUACUGGGCGUAAAGGGUGCGUAGGCGGCUUUCUACGUUGGAUGUGAAAACUAUGGGCUCAACCCAUAGCCUGCAUCCAAAACUGGAGAGCUUGGGUUCUGGAGGGGAAAGCGGAAUUCCUGGUGUAGCGGUGAAAUGCGUAGAUACCAGGAGGAACACCGGUGGCGAAGGCGGCUUUCUGGACAGACACCGACGCUGAGGCACGAAAGCUAGGGGAGCAAACAGG
rnacentral:rRNA from 1 species